AGUGGCGUGGCUACACCGUGGCCUCAAGGAGCCAGUCCUGCCCGGAUGGGGCUCGCCGGAUCGGUUUCGGUUUUCACGCACUCCCAUUUCUGUGGCCGCUGUGCAUUCGCGGUACUGUGCCCUGGCCGCCACCAGGACGUUUAUUCCUGAGCUAGAGGCCGGCGGGGAGUAACGAGGCAGAGAGGUUGAGGAAUCUGGGAAGACUGCAGAAACCUAAGGGCCGGCCUAUCCUUAGUCGUAGAGACAAGGCCCUGCGGAUCGCGCCGCCAGGCCACCCAGAGGAGGGACUCACCUGCCAGGAAAGCUAGCUGCAGCGCCUGCGCCCUAACUUCGUCCGCCUCUCUGGCACACCAGUGCCCUUAGAGACCAUAGAGGCCAACUUCCACCCGUUACCGACGGGCCCUCUGCUGCCCAGAGUGGGGAAAGUCCCUCCCCACAGUUACCCAGCCUGCCGGCGACAAGGGCCAAUUUGGAAUCCAGAGCCCCGGGCUCCCUUUCCAGGAUUGCUUUCACUUUUCUUCUCUGAGAUGAUACCUGUUUCCAUAGUUUGACCCUCACCCAAAUUUCGCACCUUCUAUGGAAUGUGGAGGGAAUCCCCAAGGUCUCCAGAGUCCCCCUUCCCCCAUCCUUUGUGAGCCUGGCUUUCGGCAGGCCUUUUUCCUUGAAAAGUCUAAAUAUUGAGAGGAAAAUCUUGUCUGGGCCCAAACCGGAGGUCAGGCUGAGGACAAAGUGAGGAGGCCUGUACCAGCCUUGUCUGCUACUGUGUGUGGGAUGUGGCAGGGAGCCCGGCGAACUUGGGUCUCUAGCCUAAGGACAUUAAGUGGCAUCAGUGGCUGCCAGGGCCAGGUGAGCUGAGGCAGCAAAGAAUCUAGUUCCACCACUAGUUCAAGAAUAUCCAGAAGGCCCAGCCCUAAAACUCUGUGUGUGUCUAAAAAGGGAGGUGGGUGGAUUAAAGCUGAGGAUAGAGAGAAGGAUUAGAGAACAAUGCGUGCUAUUUUU
rnacentral:lncRNA from 1 species